rnacentral:rRNA from 1 species
AGUGAACGCUGGCGGUAGGCCUAACACAUGCAAGUCGAACGGCAGCACAGUAAGAGCUUGCUCUUACGGGUGGCGAGUGGCGGACGGGUGAGGAAUACAUCGGAAUCUACUUUUUCGUGGGGGAUAACGUAGGGAAACUUACGCUACUACCGCAUACGACCUACGGGUGAAAGCAGGGGAUCUUCGGACCUUGCGCGAUUGAAUGAGCUGAUGUCGGAUUAGCUAGUUGGCGGGGUAAAGGCCCACCAAGGCGACGAUCCGUAGCUGGUCUGAGAGGAUGAUCAGCCACACUGGAACUGAGACACGGUCCAGACUCCUACGGGAGGCAGCAGUGGGGAAUAUUGGACAAUGGGCGCAAGCCUGAUCCAGCCAUACCGCGUGGGUGAAGAAGGCCUUCGGGUUGUAAACCCCUUUUGUUGGGAAAGAGAAGCAGCAGGUUAAUACCCCGCUGUUCUGACGGUACCCAAAGAAUAAGCACCGGCUAACUUCGUG